ACUAAAAAUCCAUUGCAACAAAACUGUCAGAUUUCUCGACUGUAAAAGCUUAGCACAUUUAUUUCCUUCUUUUGUUGCCUUUUGGCUUAAUGACUCCAUGGCUGUUCCUGCAGUGUGCUCAGAUCUGCACCAGUAGAGCUCUGGUACACAACCAUUGUGAGUCUGUUGUUGGUUCCGUGCAUGAUGAAUAUCGCAGCCUCUACGGACCACUUAGCCUUGUUUAUUUAAUUCAUGCUAAUUUAUAAUGUGUGGUGUAUUGCUUUCAUAUCUUUCUAUUCAAGCACUGGGAUAAGCGCAGCUGUGCGGGCAUCAGUGUUUUCGUUUCACCGUACUUCUGCUCUGCCCACCACAUUGACUUUGAGCAACAAGCCAGCAGACAGAAGUCCAUCCGUCAGACGUUCUAUGAGCCGCCCACUUACUGCAUGUUACAGUGUGGUCGGGGCAUGGAAUAGAUUUGCACAAAUUGAAGUGGUUUUUUUUUCACCAGAGUAUAAAUCAGGGGACAGUUUCUGUUAAAAAAUAUCUCAUUACAAUUGUUGUGAAUAAGUGUGUACUAUGCCUUCAUAGCAUGAAAAACUAAAAAGCUAAAAGCACACUGAGUGCUGCAAUCUGUUUGGGCCAAAAAACUCCUCUUUGUGUUUCCACAGAAUAAGUUUUUAGGUUGUGAGCUGCAGCGAUGCAACGUUCAAGUUCAAUGGACUUUGAUUUAUCUAAUAAGACUAUACAGGCAACAUUUGUUGACCAUAAACGUUGGCUGUGAUGAAUAAUGAAAUAGAACAAUUGAUUUGAUGAUGUGUAAUUGUAUUGGUUCAAGGUCAAAGUCUUCUUUGCUGACACAACAAUAUCAGUUAAUCAACACUUUUCCCAGUUUAAUCGGGUUUAUGGCUCCGGUGUUAUUUGUCUGAGUCUAAAGGGUUUACAUUUUGCAACUAUUUAUUUGUACACGCUACCAACCUGGGACAGAAUUAAAAUACAAGGACCUUUAUCAACCUGUGCCAGAUAACUUAUACCUGUAUUUAUUUUCUGCAAUAAUUUAAAAUGCAAUGGAAAAAUCCAAUUGCCUUUGAAAAGAAUCUAUUGUGGGAUCUGCAAAUAUACAGUGUAGGUGACAUUACUGACGCUUUAUUUUAGCAUGUGUAUUCUGUGUGUUGUAAAUGGAUACCUCCAACUUCCUCUCUUUGGUUCUCAGCUCCAAGCCCAUUGGUUGUUACUGAUAAUUAUAUUCAAACAGCGACAGCCGGUUUCAUUAUAUACUUCUUCAACAGCUAGUCACUAUAGUUUUCAUCAUAUAUUACUCAAGCACAAGGACAUAUUGCUUUGUUGGGGACUGUUCAAAGUUGGAUUAAGCCACAUUGGUUGCUCUAGUCAUAUUUGGGCCGGGCUUUUAAUAGUUUUUACAUACAUAACUAUAUUAUAUUAAUUUGAUUGUAAACAAUGUUUUGUCAUGUUUCCUUUUCCACAGCCUGUGGCAGGUGACAACAUAAUGUGUAAUAGCAAUAUAUGUACAUACAGGGCUGUAGUGGAGGGUAAACGCACGUAAACGCCGUUUACGCACCUCUAGAAUUUUGGAAAUAGCGUUUAAGCACCUCUAAGUGGCGUUUACGCACCUCAAAGUUCCCUGCGCCUUGUAUUCUUCCGUUGGAAUAAUCCGAAAUAAACUUGGUGUAAUUUUAAAACAACUAAGACUACGUUUCCUAUUGUUGAACAUAUAAACGCCGUAGUCUGAAUCAUUUUCAUCCGCGCUGUAUUAUGGUCUGUGACCAUCCAAUCAGUGCCUUGCGGCUGCAGCAGCGACUCCAAUCAGGAUCCAGGAGGAGAGAACACCAUACACGUUGUGAAUCAGCCCAGUGGUCCCCAACCUUUCUUACCUCACAGACCGGUUUCAUGUCAGACAAUAAUUUUCGGACCGGUCCGACGGGGGGGGGGUGUAGUAGUCGCGCGCUCUGUGUUCGCUGGUCGUGCACGGUAAAAGGACAAAAAAAACGCCUGGUGACGCGUAGAUUAGAAAACAAGUCAGUUCUCAAUGUGAAAAAAAACAUGCUGUAUAGGCUAUUUAUGAUGACAUAGGUAGUACAGGAGUGUUCCUUUAACUUAUGUUGUCAGUGUAAUUGACAGGCUGCUUAACUGGUUAACUCUUAAAUUCAACAUAUUUUUUCAGGCAGUGAUAGGACAGGCAAUGAUGCAGAGAGCACAGGGAGAGGAGAAACACCAGGUCCAAUAGAGAGAGGAGAAGCAAGGCAGGACCUGACGUGGAGGACAAGGAGGCCCUCUGGGCACUACUGUAAAAAGGAGACUCCGUAUGUAGAUAGUUCUUAAUCUGCAAUUGUCUUGUUGUGUUGUCAUACUUUUCUUUACUGCUGUUUUCUUAAAUUUAAUAAACUACAAACUACUAACACAUGUAUUCAUUGUCAUUGAUUGUAUAUGACUUUUACUGAUAACAUAAUGCAAUACAGCCACGACAGCCUUACAGAGUCGCGACGCUUUGUGUUGCGUUGCUUCGCAUCGCGUCGAGGUCUGUAUGAUCACAAAAUUCAGAGUUUACCCACCUCUAAUUUUACCACUACAGCUGAACUGAAGGAACAUAACUCCACUGCUCUGGCCGU
ensembl:lncRNA